GUGGGGAAUCUUCCGCAAUGGGCGAAAGCCUGACGGAGCAACGCCGCGUGAGGGAAGAAGGCCUUAGGGUCGUAAACCUCUGUUGUGUGGGAAGAAGAGCGUGACGGUACCACACGAGGAAGUCCCGGCUAACUUCGUGCCAGCAGCCGCGGUAAUACGAAGGGGGCUAGCGUUGCCCGGAAUUACUGGGCGUAACGGGCGCGUAGGCGGACAGCUUACUCAGAGGUGAAAGCCCAGUGCUCAACCUUGGAAUUGCCUUUGAUACUGGCUGUCUUGAGUUUGGGAGAGGUGAGUGGAGCUCCGAGUGUAGAGGUGAAAUUCGUAGAUAUUCGGAAGAACACCAGUGGCGAAGGCGACUCACUGGCCCAAUACUGACGCUGAGGCGCGAAAGCGUGGGGAGCAAACAGGAUUAGAUACCCUUGUAGUCC
rnacentral:rRNA from 1 species